rnacentral:rRNA from 1 species
AACGAACGCUGGCGGCAUGCCUAACACAUGCAAGUCGAACGAGACCUUCGGGUCUAUUGGCGCACGGGUGCGUAACGCGUGGGAAGCUGCCCUUAGGUUCGGAAUAACUCCCCGAAGGGGGUGCUAAUACCGGAUAGUGUCUUCGGACCAAAGAUUUAUCGCCUUUGGAUGGGCGCGGGUUGGAUUAGGUGGUUGGUAGGGUAAAAGCCUACCAAGGCGACGAUCCAUAGCUGGUCUGAGAGGAUGAUCAGCCACACUGGGACUGAGACACGGCCCAGACUCGUACGGGAUGCAGCAGAGGGUAAUAUUGGACAAUGGGGGAAGGCCUGAUCCAGCAAUGCCGCGUGAGUGAUGAAGGCCGUAGGGUUGUAAAGCUCUUUUACCCGGGAUGAUAAUGACAGUACCGGGAGAAUAAGCUCCGGCUAACUCCGUG